UGAUUAUGUAUAAAUAGAUGUACAAUGAGGGCUUAGUACAAGCCCGUCUUCUAGAUGGCGCCUUGCCCGUUCUGCAUUUUUGUAUUCCCCUACGAUUUUCUUUGAGGGGAAUCCGUUAAACCCGCCCAUCGUUCAAAAAUGGAAGGGCGCGAGGUCACAUCUAUUGGGCUACUUAUUAGCACGUUUCACGCAUGUUUUACGAAAAUAGCUUUAUCCUUGUUUGUUUCAACUGUGACAAGAAAAAAGGAAAAAAAAGUCAUAUUCGUUUCUAAAUUCGGCAGUUUUGUUUAUCUUUCUCGACUUCUGAUUUCGUUUCGUUUAGGUUAUGUCUUAAAAAAUAAUUAUUUAUAAUCUUUUGAGUUGAAAUAUACCUUAAUGCAUAUCUAAAUAAUUAAAAAAUCAAUUUUUUCGUCCCUCGCGAAGAAACGAAACAGUAUUUUUGAAUAUUUGGAUUACAAACUAUUAUUUUAUGAGUUUUAUGUGUUGUGUUUACGUGAUGUGUAAUGUGUAUUUUGUACCUGUUGGAUAAUAUUUUGAAACAUAUUUAAUUAAACAAAAAGCAUCUGUAUUACAGGUGUGACUGCUAAGUGGUCGUACUCGCCACUUUAACCAACCAUUGGUGGGACCAUGGUAGGACCUUCAGAGAUUAUAAUGCGAAUUUUUCAUACCAUGUAAAUCUAUAUACAUAUAUUAAUAAAUGCGUUUGUUUUA